UCUUCCAUGAUGAUUUCUAACUAGAUGACUUUCGUUCUUCUGAGUUUGCUGAAGCCAUGCUUAGAAUCUGAGCAAGA